GAUGAACGCUGGCGGCGUGCCUAAUACAUGCAAGUCGAGCGAAGCGGGGACGGGUGAGUAACACGUGGAUAACCUCCUAUAAGACUGGGAUAACUUCGGGAAACCGGUGCCAAACCGGAAACUUAUACCUGGAUCCGCGCUGCAUUAGCUAGUGGGUAAGGUAACGGCUUACCAAGGCCACGAUGCCUAGCCGACCUGGGAGGAUGAUCGGCCACACUGGAACUGAGACACGGUCCAGACUCCUACGGGAGGCAGCAGUAGGGAAUCUUCCACAAUGGGCGAAAGCCUGACGGAGCUACGCCGCGUGAGUGAAGAAGGUCUUCGGGUCGUAAAACACUUUCAUUAGGGAGGCGGUACCCACCCAGAAAGCCACGGCUAACUACGUGCCAGCCGCCGCGGUAAUAC
rnacentral:rRNA from 1 species